rnacentral:rRNA from 1 species
GGGUUGUGAGGUUAAGCGACUAAGCGUACACGGUGGAUGCCCUGGCAGUCAGAGGCGAUGAAGGACGUGCUAAUCUGCGAUAAGCGUCGGUAAGGUGAUAUGAACCGUUAUAACCGGCGAUUUCCGAAUGGGGAAACCCAGUGUGUUUCGACACACUAUCAUUAACUGAAUCCAUAGGUUAAUGAGGCGAACCGGGGGAACUGAAACAUCUAAGUACCCCGAGGAAAAGAAAUCAACCGAGAUUCCCCCAGUAGCGGCGAGCGAACGGGGAGGAGCCCAGAGCCUGAAUCAGUGUGUGUGUUAGUGGAAGCGUCUGGAAAGGCGCGCGAUACAGGGUGACAGCCCCGUACACAAAAAUGCACAUACUGUGAGCUCGAUGAGUAGGGCGGGACACGUGGUAUCCUGUCUGAAUAUGGGGGGACCAUCCUCCAAGGCUAAAUACUCCUGACUGACCGAUAGUGAACCAGUACCGUGAGGGAAAGGCGAAAAGAACCCCGGCGAGGGGAGUGAAAAAGAACCUGAAACCGUGUACGUACAAGCAGUGGGAGCCUCUUUUAUGGGGUGACUGCGUACCUUUUGUAUAAUGGGUCAGCGACUUAUAUUCUGUAGCAAGGUUAACCGAAUAGGGGAGCCGAAGGGAAACCGAGUCUUAACUGGGCGUUAAGUUGCAGGGUAUAGACCCGAAACCCGGUGAUCUAGCCAUGGGCAGGUUGAAGGUUGGGUAACACUAACUGGAGGACCGAACCGACUAAUGUUGAAAAAUUAGCGGAUGACUUGUGGCUGGGGGUGAAAGGCCAAUCAAACCGGGAGAUAGCUGGUUCUCCCCGAAAGCUAUUUAGGUAGCGCCUCGUGAAUUCAUCUCCGGGGGUAGAGCACUGUUUCGGCAAGGGGGUCAUCCCGACUUACCAACCCGAUGCAAACUGCGAAUACCGGAGAAUGUUAUCACGGGAGACACACGGCGGGUGCUAACGUCCGUCGUGAAGAGGGAAACAACCCAGACCGCCAGCUAAGGUCCCAAAGUCAUGGUUAAGUGGGAAACGAUGUGGGAAGGCCCAGACAGCCAGGAUGUUGGCUUAGAAGCAGCCAUCAUUUAAAGAAAGCGUAAUAGCUCACUGGUCGAGUCGGCCUGCGCGGAAGAUGUAACGGGGCUAAACCAUGCACCGAAGCUGCGGCAGCGACGCUGAUGCGUUGUUGGGUAGGGGAGCGUUCUGUAAGCCUGUGAAGGUGUACUGUGAGGUAUGCUGGAGGUAUCAGAAGUGCGAAUGCUGACAUAAGUAACGAUAAAGCGGGUGAAAAGCCCGCUCGCCGGAAGACCAAGGGUUCCUGUCCAACGUUAAUCGGGGCAGGGUGAGUCGACCCCUAAGGCGAGGCCGAAAGGCGUAGUCGAUGGGAAACAGGUUAAUAUUCCUGUACUUGGUGUUACUGCGAAGGGGGGACGGAGAAGGCUAUGUUGGCCGGGCGACGGUUGUCCCGGUUUAAGCGUGUAGGCUGGUUUUCCAGGCAAAUCCGGAAAACUAAGGCUGAGGCGUGAUGACGAGGCACUACGGUGCUGAAGCAACAAAUGCCCUGCUUCCAGGAAAAGCCUCUAAGCAUCAGGUAACAUCAAAUCGUACCCCAAACCGACACAGGUGGUCAGGUAGAGAAUACCAAGGCGCUUGAGAGAACUCGGGUGAAGGAACUAGGCAAAAUGGUGCCGUAACUUCGGGAGAAGGCACGCUGAUAUGUAGGUGAAGUCCCUCGCGGAUGGAGCUGAAAUCAGUCGAAGAUACCAGCUGGCUGCAACUGUUUAUUAAAAACACAGCACUGUGCAAACACGAAAGUGGACGUAUACGGUGUGACGCCUGCCCGGUGC